UACAGAGGUCUCGAGCGUUGUUCGGAUUCAUUGGGCGUAAAGGGUGCGUAGGCGGGUCUUUAAGUCAGGGGUGAAAUCCUGGAGCUCAACUCCAGAACUGCCUUUGAUACUGAAGAUCUUGAGUUCGGGAGAGGUGAGUGGAACUGCGAGUGUAGAGGUGAAAUUCGUAGAUAUUCGCAAGAACACCAGUGGCGAAGGCGGCGACCUGCCUCGAUCUGACGCUGAGGCGCGACAGCGUGGGGAGCAAACGAG
rnacentral:rRNA from 1 species